UACGGGGGGGGCAAGCGUUGUUCGGAAUUACUGGGCGUAAAGGGCUCGUAGGCGGCCAACUAAGUCGGACGUGAAAUCCCCAGGCUCAACCUGGGAACUGCGUCCGAUACUGGAUGGCUUGAAUCCGGGAGAGGGAUGCAGAAUUCCAGGUGUAGCGGUGAAAUGCGUAGAUAUCUGGAGGAACACCGGUGGCGAAGGCGGCGUUCUGGACUGCUACUGACACUGAGGAACGAAAGCCAGGGGAGCAAACGGG
rnacentral:rRNA from 1 species